GCGCCGAAGCCGCGAGGCGACGGCGUUCUCGCCGGAUGUAGGAACCGACCCGGGGACCGCCGGGGCAACCCGGCGCCCCCGAGACGGGGCGAACCACGGUGAAAUGACGGAUCGUCGGCCCCGCGCCGGCGACUCGCCGAAUGAGUUUCUGACCUAUCAACUCGAGACGGCGGGGUAGAGGCCCGCCGCGGUAACGACGGGUAACGGGGAAUCAGGGUUCGAUUCCGGAGAGGGAGCCCGAGAAACGGCUACCACUUCCAAGGAAGGCAGCAGGCGCGCAACUUACCCUAAUCUCGAUUCGAGGAGGUAGUGACAAGAAAUACCGAUGCGGGACCCUACGGGUGCCGCGUUCGGAAUGAGUACGAUUCGAACCACCUAACGAGAACGAUCGGAGGGCAAGUCUGGUGCCAGCAGCCGCGGUAAUUCCAGCUCCAAUAGCG
rnacentral:rRNA from 1 species